UACAGAGGUCUCAAGCGUUGUUCGGAUUCAUUGGGCGUAAAGGGUGCGUAGGUGGAUUGGUAAGUCAGUGGUGAAAUCUCCGGGCUUAACUCGGAAACUGCCAUUGAUACUAUCAGUCUUGAAUACCGUGGAGGCCAGUAGAAUAUGUCAUGUAGCGGUGAAAUGCUUAGAUAUGACAUAGAAUACCAAUUGCGAAGGCAGCUGGCUACGCGAAUAUUGACACUCAGGCACGAAAGCGUGGGGAUCAAACAGG
rnacentral:rRNA from 1 species